GAGUGACCUCGCGCGAGAGUUUAUAUUUCUCGCGAGACUUCACCGUCUCUGUCUUUUCCUCCUUCCAGUGUCCGGCUUUCUUCCCUUCCCCCUCGCCGCCGACCGAGUUCUUCGUUUUUAGACCGAGUCGCCUUGUUGUCGUCGCGGUGAUUUUCCUGCUACUGCUACUGCUGCUGCUGCCGCCGCCACUACCACUGGGCUCAUUUGCCCCGACCCCUUCCCGCCGCCCCGCCCCCAGCCCCACACAAGAUGUCAGAGGAUUUAGCAAAGCAGCUGGCAAGCUACAAAGCUCAGCUCCAGCAAGUUGAAGCUGCAUUAUCUGGAAAUGGAGAAAAUGAAGAUUUGCUAAAAUUGAAGAAAGAUUUACAAGAAGUUAUAGAACUAACCAAAGACCUUCUGUCAACUCAACCUUCUGAGACGCUUGCGAGUUCAGACAGUUUUGCUUCUACUCAACCUACUCAUUCAUGGAAAGUAGGAGACAAGUGUAUGGCAAUCUGGAGUGAAGAUGGACAGUGUUAUGAAGCGGAGAUUGAGGAGAUAGAUGAAGAAAAUGGCACCGCUGCAAUCACCUUUGCUGGUUAUGGCAAUGCUGAAGUGACUCCACUGUUGAACCUCAAGCCUGUAGAAGAAGGAAGGAAGGCAAAGGAGGACAGUGGCAACAAACCCAUGUCAAAAAAAGAAAUGAUUGCCCAGCAGCGUGAAUAUAAAAAGAAGAAAGCUUUGAAAAAAGCUCAGAGAAUAAAAGAACUUGAGCAGGAAAGAGAGGACCAGAAAGUGAAAUGGCAGCAAUUCAACAACAGAGCCUAUUCUAAAAACAAAAAAGGCCAGGUAAAGAGGAGUAUUUUUGCUUCACCUGAGAGUGUGACUGGCAAAGUUGGAGUAGGAACUUGUGGAAUUGCUGAUAAACCUAUGACACAAUAUCAAGAUACCUCUAAAUACAAUGUCAGGCAUUUGAUGCCUCAAUAAUCAGAAAAACUGUUGGAUUUCAUCUCUGCAGGGCUUUACAUUUACCUUUUUAUCCUUAUAUUUUUCUAAAGGAUUUUUGAGUUGCAAGUUAAACUGAAUUUUUACUGCAGUGGAGAGGAGGAGCAUAGCAGGCAAAAUAACAGGUAAUACUGUAUUUUAAACAAACAGAAAAACCCAAGUAAUUGGCACCCUUUAUCUGAUCAUCUUUUAAAAGGCCUAUAUAUGUGUAUAGUUAUGUUCUUAAGAAACAUCUUAAGAGGUUCAGAAAUCAAUUUUAUAGAUGGAACAUUUUAAUAAUUUGUUUUGGCCUAGCCAAAAGUAAGUAAAAUAAAACAAAAUGGUGUUAGAUUAUGUAUGUAUAUAAAGGUUGUUCUUUUGUGGCCUUGAUUGGGGUAAAGCAGAACUGAGAAUAAUAGGGGUUUGUGGUAGUCGACAGCUGAACUAGCUAAAAAUACGAAGUUUUGGAUAUUUAAUUAAUCUUUCAGUUCCCAGGCAAUAAAAACUGGAAACUUAGUUCCACCACACACCUUACCAGUUCAUUUAAAACCAGUAUAGUCACUGGAAUUAUUUAAACUGUAAUUUGUUUCUCCACUUAGUCUUUUUUAAGAAUACAGCUGAAAGAGCCAUGGUGAUAAUUAUUAGGAGAAAAGGUUGGCAUUUUGUUUGAAGAGCUACUUUCUCAACUUGGGGCUGAAAGUUAUCGUUGUUAUUUUGCUGGCUCAGGAUUUCCCUUUCUUGGUAAAACUGAUGUGCUUUUGUUUUUUCCCCUUUCAAGCCCUGUACUUACUUUAGCAAGAUGCAGUGAAUUUCUGACCAGAGAAACAAAGAAUUCAGGCUUGGAGGAAACACUUGACUCCAUAUCCUGGGAAACUAGAGUUGAAGCCUGAGAUCUGAAGCUAGGCUAGUAAUCACUUUAAUAGAUGGUAACUGUCCAAAUGUUCAUUGCUCAGAAGUAGCAGGAAGGAGUAAGUAUCCCUUUAAUUCUUUUGCCUGGAGUUUUUCCCUCCAAAAUCACCCUCAGGUUUAGUUGACCUAGCUUUCUUUCUAAGUGUGAUGAAGCUACUAACUUAGAAACGACUGAUCUUAAAUGUAUACUCUUCUUGUGAUUUUAGAGGUACUUUUAUAGGUUUUGUUAUAUUUUUACAGUGCUAUUCUGUGCCCUGGUAUGAGCAUCUGAAAUAAAUAUCUCAAUUAUUACCCUACCAAUAAAGAUUUUUAAAGCAUUCCCCAAGGCAAAGAGCUAUGAGCUUGAGGAUAUGGAAGAAAUGCCAAAACUACAGUAAGUUAGUUGGCAGUAUCUUAAAAGAACUUCAUUUAAAGCCAUUUUCUCUAAUUUAUGACUGUAUAGAAAGGUAAAACAGAACAGGAAGUGAAGUUUUCAGCCAGUACAUUUAUUUUGAACUAUGCUGCCUAUUUAAAACAAUCUGACAUAUUCCACAAGAAAACCAGUUUCCUAUUAGAUCUGAUACAUAGGAAAGGAGAUAGCUGCUGAUUCUCUUUUCUUGGCACAGUCAGCACUAAAUACUAACCUAGGGCACGUUAUUAUCAGUGUAUAAUAUGUUCAACUUGAGAUUAGUCCUUUUUCUUUUUUUUAGAAAGACCAGAUAAUCACUAAAACUGAUGCUACAUUAAUCUUAUAAAGCCUUUAUUUAAGAAAUUCUAUAGGAGGCUGGGUGCGGUGGCUCACACCUGUAAUUUCAGCACUUUGGGAGGCCAAGGUGGGCAGAUCACAUAAGGCCAGGAGUUCGAGACCAGCCUGGCCAACAUGGUGAAAUGCUCUCUCUACUAAAAAAUACAAAAAUUAGCCAGGUGUGGUGGCACAUGCCAUAGUCCCAGCUACUCAGGAGGCUAAGGCAGGAGAAUUGCUUGAACCCAAAAGGUGGAGGUUGCAGUGAGCCAAGGUCACACCACUGCACUAUACAGCCUGGAUGACAGAAAUUCUAUAGGAAAUAAAAAAUGACUUCUUUAUUAAAGUAUUACCUGCCAUGGAAUUUUGUUUAAGUGAACCAAUAUUUAGAAACAGUCUUUUUCUGUAAGAUCUGGAGUCAAAGUGACUAAAAUUCAGGAUUAAGGAUGCAUUAGAAGGUUGUGUUCAUCAGAGAAACUAGAGAAACACACCCCUUUUAAUUUCCUUAGUACUACAUCUUCCUAGAUGGCAGUCGGGGAGUGGGGUGGUAGUUUAUAUAUAUCUGCUUAAAUCCUUACAACCUUUCAAGAUAGAGGUAGUACUUAUAAUAGCUUUUCAGGAGGAAAAGGGCUCCAUGAAGAAAUUAAGUAACUAGGGUCAGCAAUGUUGGAACUGGGAUUAAAGUGUAAUUUUUUUUUUUUUUUUUUUGAGACGGAGUCUCGCUCUGUCGCCCAGGCUGGAGUGCAGUGGCGCAAUCUCGGCUUACUGCAAGCUCCGCCUCCCGGGUUCACGCCAUUCUCCUGCCUCAGCCUCUCCGACUAGCUGGGACUACAGGCACCUGCCGCCACGCCUGGCUAAUUUUGUUUUUGUAUUUUUAGUAGAGACGGGGUUUCACCGUGGUCUCGAUCUCCUGACCUGGUGAUCCACCCGCCUCGGCCUCCCAAAGUGUUGGGAUUACAAGCGUGAGCCACCGCGCCCGGCCUAAAGUGUAAUUAAAACACUUGCUGUUCCCACAUUUUACUGUUCUGGGUUAACUGUUGGGAACCUGAUUUUGGUCAGGAACUUUGCCUCAAUAAUCCUCACUGCCUCUUAAAAUUCCUUCAUAACGCUAAAAGCAGUCAUUGUCGGGGAGAUUAGAAAGGCAUUUCUAUAGGAGUUCUCAUAUCUGUUCUAACCAGAAACUUGAGUUGCAGUGACUUCAGAAUCCUUUAGUUAUAAUGCGCUACAGUAGGUUUUACCUGUACCUUUUUGAGACGGAGUCUCGCUCUGUUGCCCAGGCUGGAGUGCAGUGGCUCAAUCUCAGCUCACUGCAGCCUCCGCCUCCCAGGUUCAAGAUUCUCCUGCCUCAGCCUCCUGAGUAGCUGGGACUACAGGUGCAUGCCACCAUGCCCAGCUAAUUUUUCG